UAUCAUUAUCUUUAUUAUUUUUUUAUUUUUUUCGUUUUGAUUAAUCAACGGAAAAUUCCCUGACCUUCCCGAUACCGCGCUGUAAUAUUAUGAGAACUGCGCUAAACGCGUGUGUAACAAAAACAUUCCACUCGGGUAUUUAGGUUAAUAGGCAAUCGUAAUUAUUUUAUUAAUUAUGUGGUACGCGCAGUAUUUUUUUUAUGAGACUCGGCUUAACCGAUUUAUUUUAGUUUAUCAAAAGUUUUCUAUUAUAUUCGUAGGAUUUCGAGAAAUGUCAUACUGAUUUUAGGAUGGUAUUUUUUUUUUUUUGUUUUUCAAUAGCUCCUAUUAUCAGUCCAAAAUCGUAGAUUAAUGAAAUUGAGAUUAAUUCAUAACUCAAACAUUCGAUUGAUAUUGAAUAAUUUUUAACAUACGAGGCGGGACGAGACGAGACGAGAAGAGGCGGGACGAGGCGGGACGUGACGGGACGAGACGGGACGAGGCGGGACACGAGCGUAAUAAUAUGGAUACGACGACGCGUGCGGAAAUGGUUGCCUAUAAAUCGCGCCCCGUCGACUAUGGCCGACGGCAGUAUUUUUAUUUCGCGGUGACCGAAACCGCGUCGAUCGUAUUAUCGUCGUCGUCACCGUCAUUCUAACGGACGUUUACG